UACAUAGCUCAGUCAGUAGAGCGUGAGACUCUUAAUCUCAUGGCUGUGGGUUCGGGCCCAGAUUGGGCAAAA